AACGAACGCUGGCGGCAUGCCUAACACAUGCAAGUCGAACGAGACCUUCGGGUCUAGUGGCGCACGGGUGCGUAACGCGUGGGAACCUGCCCUUAGGUUCGGAAUAACUCCCCGAAAGGGGUGCUAAUACCGGAUAAUGUCUUCGGACCAAAGAUUUAUCGCCUUUGGAUGGGCCCGCGUUGGAUUAGCUAGUUGGUAGGGUAAAAGCCUACCAAGGCGACGAUCCAUAGCUGGUCUGAGAGGAUGAUCAGCCACACUGGGACUGAGACACGGCCCAGACUCUACGGGAGGCAGCAGUGGGGAAUAUUGGACAAUGGGCGAAAGCCUGAUCCAGCAAUGCCGCGUGAGUGAUGAAGGCCUUAGGGUUGUAAAGCUCUUUUACCCGGGAUGAUAAUGACAGUACCGGGAGAAUAAGCGCCGGCUAACUCCGUG
rnacentral:rRNA from 1 species